AACGCACAUUGCGCCCCUUGGUAUUCCGGGGGGCAUGCCUGUUCGAGCGUCAUUACAACCCUCAAGCUCUGCUUGGUAUUGGGCAACACCUAAUCUUGGUGAGCCUUAAAAUCAGUGGCGGUGCCAUCUGGCUCUAAGCGUAGUAAUACUUCCGCUACAGGGUCUUGUGGUUGCUUGCCAACAACCCAAAAUUUUCUAUGGUUGACCUCGGAUCAGGUAGGGAUACCCGCUGAACUUAA
rnacentral:misc_RNA from 1 species